AGCAUAUCAAUAAGCGGAGGAAAAGAAACUAACAAGGAUUCCCCUAGUAACUGCGAGUGAAGCGGGAAAAGCUCAAAUUUAAAAUCUGGUAGUCUUUGGCUGCCCGAGUUGUAAUCUGGAGAAGCGUUUUCCGCGCUGGACCGUGUACAAGUCUCUUGGAAUAGAGCGUCAUAGAGGGUGAGAAUCCCGUCUUUGACACGGACUACCAGUGCUUUGUGAUACGCUCUCAAAGAGUCGAGUUGUUUGGGAAUGCAGCUCAAAAUGGGUGGUAAAUUCCAUCUAAAGCUAAAUAUUGGCGAGAGACCGAUAGCGAACAAGUACCGUGAGGGAAAGAUGAAAAGCACUUUGGAAAGAGAGUUAAACAGUACGUGAAAUUGCUGAAAGGGAAGCGUUUGAAGUCAGUCGCGUUGUUCAGAACUCAACCUGGUUUUACUUGGUGCACUUUCUGGAUGACGGGCCAACAUCAGUUUUGACUGUCGGAUAAAGGCCUUUGGAAUGUGGCACCUCCGGGUGUGUUAUAGCCUUUGGUUGUAUACGAUGGUUGGGACUGAGGACCGCAGCACGCCUUUUGGCCGGGGUUCGCCCACGUACGUGCUUAGGAUGUUGGCGUAAUGGCUUUAAACGACCCGUCUUGAAACACGGACCAAGGAGUCUAACAUGCCUGCGAGUGUUUGGGUGGAAAACCCGAGCGCGUAAUGAAAGUGAAAGUUGGGAUCCCUGUCGUGGGGAGCACCGACGCCCAUACCAGACCUUCUGUGACGGAUAUGCGGUUGAGCAUGUAUGUUGGGACCCGAAAGAUGGUGAACUAUGCCUGAAUAGGGUGAAGCCAGAGGAAACUCUGGUGGAAGCUCGUAGCGAUUCUGACGUGCAAAUCGAUCGUCAAAUUUGGGUAUAGGGGCGAAAGACUAAUCGAACCAUCUAGUAGCUGGUUCC
rnacentral:rRNA from 1 species